rnacentral:rRNA from 1 species
CCUACGGGUGGCAGCAGUGAGGAAUAUUGGUCAAUGGACGAGAGUCUGAACCAGCCAAGUAGCGUGAAGGAUGACUGCCCUAUGGGUUGUAAACUUCUUUUAUAUGGGAAUAAAACGUUCCACGUGUGGGAUUUUGUAUGUACCAUAUGAAUAAGGAUCGGCUAACUCCGUGCCAGCAGCCGCGGUAAUACGGAGGAUCCGAGCGUUAUCCGGAUUUAUUGGGUUUAAAGGGAGCGUAGGUGGAUUGUUAAGUCAGUUGUGAAAGUUUGCGGCUCAACCGUAAAAUUGCAGUUGAAACUGGCAGUCUUGAGUACAGUAGAGGUGGGCGGAAUUCGUGGUGUAGCGGUGAAAUGCUUAGAUAUCACGAAGAACUCCGAUUGCGAAGGCAGUUCACUGGACUGCAACUGACACUGAGGCUCGAAAGUGUGGGUAUCAAACAGGAUUAGAUUCCCCUGUAGUC